CGCAGCUUACCAUGCAAGUUCGAGCGGGCGUAGCAAUACGUCAGCGGCAGACGGGUGAGUAACGCGUGGGAACGUACCUUUUGGUUCGGAACAACACAGGGAAACUUGUGCUAAUACCGGAUAAGCCCUUACGGGGAAAGAUUUAUCGCCGAAAGAUCGGCCCGCGUCUGAUUAGCUAGUUGGUGAGGUAAUGGCUCACCAAGGCGACGAUCAGUAGCUGGUCUGAGAGGAUGAUCAGCCACAUUGGGACUGAGACACGGCCCAAACUCCUACGGGAGGCAGCAGUGGGGAAUAUUGGACAAUGGGGGCAACCCUGAUCCAGCCAUGCCGCGUGAGUGAUGAAGGCCCUAGGGUUGUAAAGCUCUUUUGUGCGGGAAGAUAAUGACGGUACCGCAAGAAUAAGCCCCGGCUAACUUCGUGCCAGCAGCCGCGGUAAUACGAAGGGGGCUAGCGUUGCUCGGAAUCACUGGGCGUAAAGGGUGCGUAGGCGGGUCUUUAAGUCAGGGGUGAAAUCCUGGAGCUCAACUCCAGAACUGCCUUUGAUACUGAAGAUCUUGAGUUCGGGAGAGGUGAGUGGAACUGCGAGUGUAGAGGUGAAAUUCGUAGAUAUUCGCAAGAACACCAGUGGCGAAGGCGGCUCACUGGCCCGAUACUGACGCU
rnacentral:rRNA from 1 species